GUCCCUAGGAGCUGAGGCCUGGCCUCCUGGAGCUGUAGAGGGGCAGCUCCUCUGUCCUGAACACUGCCUUCUGUGGCACCGGAGCUCACAGGUGGCACCUAGCUCUCUAUUUACAUCUGUCGAUCUCCGUUCCUGGCAGCUCUCUGGGGUGAUUAAAACAUGCUGCACAGUAAACACGAGUCCCUUCCGGGGAAGGCUCUGAGAGCAAAGGCCUCCUCGCCUCCUCGCCCCUCCUGGCAGAGAGGGUCAGCAACACCACCUGGUGCUCACCACAGGCCUUCAAGAACAGAGGCUCCGCAAACACCCAACGCAUCAAAGCACCACUGCCCAAGCCCGCCCCAGGGCCUUGUGCCCGGACAGGUGCUCCGUCCCACCAUUUUGUUUUUUAAUCAACAGAUCCCACGUGUGUUUUGCUAAACAGACAUUAACCAACAUCCUUGAUGUACGAAGCACUCCUCAGAUAAAAGGAGCCGCCAAGGCCCAAGGAUAAAUGGGCCCAGGACAGACUCCUUCACCCCUGCUGGGGGACGGCCCACAGAAGGGCACAGUGCAGCCAGGGGCCCACACCCCGCUGAGACGCCUGGGAAUGCCCCACAAGCGGCCGCGAGGAAAGCUCCAGAAAGUCACCCCCAGGCCUGGGGUGGGCUGGCUGCUGGCCAGGAAGCCCAAUGCAGGGCACAGGGCCGCUUGCCCCCCAGCCCUGAGGGCUCCCGAGAGAGAAGAGUGCCAGCCAGGGUGGCCAACACGGGUGGAGUCUCCCAUGGACACUGCUGGGACGAAGUGUCCCUCCUAGACUCAUGAAGCCCGAGUCCCCCUGCGCCAGUGGAGAUGGGCCUUAAGGAGAUAGCUGAGGUCAAGAGAGGU
rnacentral:lncRNA from 1 species